rnacentral:rRNA from 1 species
GACGAACGCUGGCGGCGUGGAUUAGGCAUGCAAGUCGAACGGUAUCAUCCUUUCGGGGGUGAGAGAGUGGCGAACUGGUGAGUAACACGUAGGUUAUCUACCCUCAAGACGGGGACAACCCAGGGAAACUUGGGCUAAUACCGGAUGUGAGCAACUUUUAGUUGUUUGAAAGGUGGCGUAAGCUGUCGCUUGGGGAUGAGCCUGCGUCCUAUUAGUUAGUUGGUGAGGUAACGGCUCACCUAGGCAAUGAUAGGUAGGCGGCCUUAACGGGUGGUCGCCCACACUGGGAUUGAGAUACGGCCCAGACUCCUACGGGAGGCAGCAGUCGAGAAUAGUCUACAAUGGUCGGAAGACUGAUAGUGCGACGCCGCGUGAACGAUGAAUCCCUUCGGGUGUAAAGUUCUUUUAUAUGUGAGCAGUGCUUCUUAUAUUUAACAGUAUGGGGAGAGAGAUAUUAGCAUAUGAAUAAGCAACGGCUAACUCCGUGCCAGCAGCCGCGGUAAACUCGU